CAUGCCCUCUCUUACCCCGCCCCGUGACUCUAGUAUAGGCAGUCGAAGCAGCAACAAGCCCAGAUUAACGACAGACCACGCUAGGUGACAGAGAUCUGUUCUAUAACCAUAUCUACGACCGAGGAGCGAGGAGACAAAGGACGGACCUCUUCUAAAUCCUCUGCUCCUGCUCUCCACUCUCUCUCUGUAUCUCUAUCUCUCUUUACCUGCCCCCCAGCCAGAGGGGGCAGAGGCUAAGAACAACAUGGCACCUGUGAGGACGGUUUCCAUAGCAGCCAGGGCUGAGGGUGCUCAUCCGUGGGGCCCCUGGGGGCCGUCUCCCCCCGGGGGCCCGGUCGCCGACACUAGUCCCUUGUUUUGUUUCCGUCUCCCUGUCUUUGUGCAAAGUCAUCCUAGCUCAGAGCAACGGGGGUCUGGGGGGGCCCAGGGCCCCGUAGUGACAAACACCCCACGCCCCGCCCCAGGGCCGGGGGGUCGGGCCCCCAGGACCCCCCAAGGGCCCCCAGGGGCCAGGAGCGCUCUGAGGAGCGGCCGAACGACAUUCCGAACAACGAGAAGCACAACGAGGAGCGGGAGCGGGUCGGAGCGCUGGGAAGAGCUGUUCCUCAUUUAGCUCUUUUUCCUUUGAUGUCAUUUGAAGUAAAUGUUUGUCAAAUGUCUAAAGUCGUUUUUUUGUGAAUAUGAAAAAAAUAUAAUUGUACAAAAAAAAAUAAAAAAACUUAGAAAAAUGUACGGAAUUGUGAAACGCUUUCGCUUUCACGACAUAUUUUACGGAGCGAAGAGACGGAGGAAGCUAACGUUGCUAUUAGCAGCUUUGUGUGUGUUUGUUGAUGUUUCACCUGAUGGUCCUGACGUCAUGUGACCUUUGACCCCGACGACGCAACCCCUCCCAUCCGUCCAGGGUCAGGAAGCGGCCAUUCACAUGUCAUGUGACAACAGGUUCCAAAGGGAAUUUGAAAAGUGGGAAUGUUCUCACUGCAACGGAGAACCAGGAGAACCAGGAGAACUCCCAACCCCACCUCCCCCCCCCCCAAAGGACUGAUUAGCUUCUCUCUCUUUACCCGCGCUGAUUAAGAGAAGGAGAGACUUCCUGACACGUGACUCCGUUCAGCCAAUGGGAAUGCUGCCUUGCCGCUUUUCCGAGGCCAUUUCCACGCUGAACAGACACUCUGCUUAUCGAACCGCUAGCCUGGGAAUGCACUGUCGAUUGGGAAAUGAAGAUUAUGAUUAAAGUUUUAAAAAGAAAAAAA
ensembl:lncRNA